rnacentral:rRNA from 1 species
UAGUACGGCGAGUGAAGAGGGAAAAGCUCAAAGUUGGAACCUGGCUGCCCUAGGCAGUCCGGAUUGUAAACUAAAGAGCGUGAUUCCAGGCAAGCCGGUUGACCAAGUCCUUUGGAAUGAGGCGCCACUGAGGGUGAGAGCCCCGUAAGUCGACUGAGCAUUUGUCUUUUGUGCUUCGCGUUCAAAGAGUCAGGUUGUUUGGGAAUGCAGCCUAAAGCUGGUGGUAAAUCCCACCUAAAGCUAAAUACAGGCGAGAGACCGAUAGCGAACAAGUACCGUGAGGGAAAGAUGAAAAGAACUUUGAAAAGAGAGUUAAACAGUAUGUGAAAUUGCCAAGAGGGAAGCAUUUGGAGUUAGAUUGACUAGGAGUUAAUCAGCUUGGUCUUUGGACUGGGUGUACUUGACUUCUUACAGUCUGCCAAUAGCAGUUAGUCCUAGUGGAAAAAACCAGAGGGAAGGUAGUCCUUCGGGAUGUUUAUAGACCUUUGGAAAAUACACUGGGAUUGACUGAGGAAUGCAGUAGAUGCCACUAAGGCUUCGUCUAGUGGGUGCUAGGCAAAGGUACUUGGUAUUUUCAGCUUGCUGAUGUGCUAGGUUACUCGAGUCUAGUCGCCUACUAGAACUGUAAUCUACUUUGGUUAUUGGCUUAAUGACUCUAAAUGGCCCGUC